rnacentral:rRNA from 1 species
GGCUACCAUGCAAGUCGAGCGGCAGCGGGAAAGUAGCUUGCUACUUUUGCCGGCGAGCGGCGGACGGGUGAGUAAUGCCUGGGGAUCUGCCCAGUCGAGGGGGAUAACUACUGGAAACGGUAGCUAAUACCGCAUACGCCCUACGGGGGAAAGCAGGGGACCUUCGGGCCUUGCGCGAUUGGAUGAACCCAGGUGGGAUUAGCUAGUUGGUGAGGUAAUGGCUCACCAAGGCGACGAUCCCUAGCUGGUCUGAGAGGAUGAUCAGCCACACUGGAACUGAGACACGGUCCAGACUCCUACGGGAGGCAGCAGUGGGGAAUAUUGCACAAUGGGGGAAACCCUGAUGCAGCCAUGCCGCGUGUGUGAAGAAGGCCUUCGGGUUGUAAAGCACUUUCAGCGAGGAGGAAAGGUUGGUAGCUAAUAACUGCCAGCUGUGACGUUACUCGCAGAAGAAGCACCGGCUAACUCCGUG